rfam:Lottia gigantea unplaced genomic scaffold LOTGIsca_273, whole genome shotgun sequence.
AUGCUUUUUAUUGUUGUAUAUUGUUGAAUAAACUUAUUAAAGAGAAAAAAGCAUCUGUUCUUAUCAGCUUUAUAUCUGAUACGUACCCCAUCGGGGUACUUCGAUAUUAAACUGAUUUUUGGACCUAGAUGAGGUGCCCGGAGCUUGCUCCGCCCUCAUCACGGGUUGCCCUGGUAUUGCAGUACUUCCAGGCGUGGCCCACCCUCA